AAGAAUAUUUAAUGAAGUAGGUUAAUGGUGGUGGGGAGGAAGGGGGUUGAUUUUCACAUCUCAGUACUACUGAGCCUGCAAAUAUUACUGAAAUCACAUCUGGGAACAAAGCUGUUCUUUAAGUAAGUUCACCCAUGAGUGUUGCUAAGCAAUGGAGAAAAAGGCGAGGGAGAGGGAGAGUGCCUGACUUCAGGAUUAGAAGGAUAGACAGGAGAUAAAAGGCUAAAGCUUCUACAUAGCCUUAUUUAUACGAACUUUCAAGUUCUUUGUUUUUAUUGCCUGUCUUCCAAACUAUUUGUACCAUGAUUAAUCAGAUCUGGUUCAGUACCUAUACCAAAGCAUACCCAGCACACGGAGAGUUGUGCUGCAUCCUGGAGCACUGGCACAAGCAGUUACGCACCAGAACUGUCAACAUCUGUCUCUGGAUUAAACAGCAAGGAAGAAGAGAAGAAGAAAUCUCUCCUAUCAGCAGCAGCAGGGGUUGCUGCAGGAAGAUGAUAAUUCCCUCCUGCUACUCUGCUGACAACCACCAAGCUUCACAGAAGGAGCAAGGGAUUUUAAUCACAGAAUUGAAAAACACAGCAGUUCCUAAAGGUUCACCUCACCCUGGUUGAUUUACAUUCAUUUAGGAUCAACUGUCUUAUGGUGGAAUUAUGUUCUGUAUGGAAGAUAACAGAGGAGGACAUACUCAAUGCAAUUUCUGGUUUGUGCAUAAGAGGCCGGGUGUCUAUGUAUAUAAAAUCUUUCUGAGCAUCCUGGAUAAGCAGGGACCGCUGAAUUCCUCAAAAGCAAAGUGCAAACUUGAGGGCUCCCUAAUUCCAUACUAAGUCUUUUAUAAAUGCUAUACUUUAAAAUACACAGAAUUACAUUGAAAAGGUGAAAAUAUUAAUACUUGGCAAGUCAGGGUCCAAUCCAGUGUCCACGGAAGUGACUUGUGAUAGAGGCCUAGAGGUUUUGGCUCCAGCUUUUUCAUCAGAUUAUCAUUAUAAUAAAGGCAGCCCCACAAUGGUCUGCUAAGAUAAAUGCAAAUCUUGUGCCAAAGACAGUCAGGCACCCCCAAAAUUAAAAAUUUGAGCACACAUCAGCUUACAGGCAGCAGCUCUGGGCAUGUGGCACAACAUCUGUUACAAAAACACUAGAAAGCAGACCUGCGGCAGGCUGGACCACUGCCAGCUCUCAAGAUUACUUCCCCCACCACCUCUGACAAGGCUGUCAGUAAAUGGACAGAUGGCAGCCAAUGCAUUCACAGGAUAGUUAGUUCAGUUAACAAUCAAAUAUGCAAAUGAUUUCAAAUUCACUCUGCACCAGGCAUUGUACUUUUCUAUUGACUCAUUAACGCUAUGUCCUAAUAGGAAUAUAGUUUGGUAUUGAGAAACUGGCGGAUACUGUAUUUUACAAGACAGUUUCUCUAGAACAAUUUGUCAGGGAACAUUAGAUCCGCCUUCAUGAAUAAAGUCAGAAUCUGCCAAGUUCACCAGCCUGAUUUGUUCAUAAUUUUAAUUCUACAGCAUUUGAAGAAUGGGGAUGGAAACAAACAUUAAGAUGCAGGUCAGUUAAUGGCACAAGCUGCUCCCACAGCAGAGUAGAUAUUAACAGCACACAGAAUCACAGCAGCUCUUCUGCCCUUCCCCGCAGUUCUGCCUGCUUGGUCUGGUACAUUGCACCGAGCUCUCCUGGACAGGACAGCUAUCACAGGCAACCCUCUGGGUGACACUCUUGUCACCUGAGCAUAUGGAUGUGAAGAUUCAUCCCUGGAAAACUAAUAUUUCUUGCUUUUUAAUGAGUGCAAUCCCUAAACAAAGAUUAGCCCUCAUAUCUCAAGGGGACAAAUAAUUCAGUACUGAACACUAGCAAAAUGCUUACAGGUGGACUUUUGGCCCCAGCAUUACAAGAUACAUCUUUUAAUUCUUCCUCUUCACAAUUAUGUCUUUAUCAGUAUGUUUGUAGACUUAUUGACAGUGUUACUCAAUUGAUUUGCUUUUCCAUGAAGUAGCAGGGCAAGAAGAAUCUUUGAAAAAAAGAAAGAUGUUUUAUCUUUAAAUUCUGCCCCCGCCCUUUUUUCUGUUGCAUAUCCAUUUUAUCCAUCCACCCAAAAUACCAUGCAGAUAAACAGCUGUCAGAGUAAUUAACUACAAUCCAAUAAGUUAUUUAUCGCAUAAUUUGUUCCAACAACCAUUUUAUUCACCCAGUAAGUACCCUGAGAAAAUACAUACCACUACCCCUUUUCUUUUCCACCUGCAUUAGAAAAAUCCUUUAGAAGGGGAAAAGAAAAAAAAAACACAAAACAAAACAAAACAGAAAAACAACACCACACCAAGAAAAACAAGUUAAAAAGCAGAGGACUAGCAGGAGAGAACACCAAAAUUAGCUCUCCCGAAGGAAGUGGGAGUUGUGCCACGGACCUGGGGGAAGCCAGCACCUCACACUUCUUAUCUGUUAGCUCAGUUGCUAAGAACAGGACUGAAGAAAACUGAAAAAGUACUUCUAAUGGGGAAUCAAAUAAUGAGUGGUCUACACAGUCACGUAAUACAGUCUGCCUAGAGCAGAACAAAAGAUUAUCUGACUGGUGCUGUGAAAGACUUACACUUUGGACUCAUGCUUUGAGCUCUCCAGAAGCACAGACCUUACACUAACCAGUAGAAACUGACCUGAGUUGCACUUUACGAUGAUCUGGAACACUCUCUCACAGCAGCAAACCUGCCCAUGGUCAGUCUACAAACAUUACAUAGAUCUUCUGUCAGCUUUCCCUUUCUCCUAUGACACUGCUUUUCUUCAGAGAUGUCUGUAGAGCAUCACCAUAGCUAUACUAGGAAAAUCAGUAGCAGCAGCCAAGAACUCAUAUGUCCCGCUCUUCCAAUUCAGACAUGGAAAGCUGUUACAAAAAUUUCAGGAGAACAGAAGCAAAAACUCUGCUAUUGCACUGAGCUCCUUAGCAGCCUGCUCUGUGUGGCAUUCCUCUUUCUUGAAAAGGAGACUGAGUCUUGUGACUAUUAGUGUGUGAUCACCAGAGCAGGGAAGACAGAUGUAAUUUAAGAAAAAAAAAAAAGUGCAAAUCUGUCAAAAAUGGAGACAGGGAAACAACCUCAUUUUCUGGCUCAACUUUAUGAAAAUCUGAUUAGACCUUAGUGAAAUUUAAUAUUUGCCUUCCAGACCCUCUGGGAAAAAAAAAAAAUAUAUAAAUCUUCUGAGGUCAUAAAGUAUCAA